rnacentral:misc_RNA from 1 species
AAUCAAUCAAACCUUGGUUUGGUAUUGGGAGAAGUGGCAUUGCCUCUCUCCUCUAAGCUAUUGGCGGCGCUAUUUCAGCUUGUAAGAUGUAGUAAGUAAUUUCUCGUCAAAACAACUGGGUGGUUGCCUGCCAACUGAACGAUUUAUUUUACA